rnacentral:snoRNA from 2 species
UGUCGGUGAUGAAAGUUCCUACCUUAACUUCGCAGUUUCCUCUCGAGCUUCUAAGAGCCUUUUGAAGCAAAUGAGGGUUUACACUUCCUUGGAUGACUGAGACA